ACCAUCCUUCUCUUGGGGUAGAGCUGCUGUUCAAUGAACGUCUAGUGAGAACAGUACUGCUAACGCCGAUAACCAACACAUUAGCAUCACUAGUGUUUAUAACAUUAGAAAGGUGCAAUUUUUGGAACC